CGGGCUGUGUCUCGUGAAGGAUUCCCAGCCCAGGAAACAGGCUGCGCGGUCACAGCCCUCAGAGCUGCUGCCGCAGGAAAGGGUUUGGAAGCCGGGUCGCGGGUCUGGCGUGGUGUCCCGACCCCGCCCAACCUGGCCAGCUCCCUUCCGAAGUGCGCAAACCGGGCGUGCGGUCCCGCGGUCUCCGAACAUCAGGAAGUCGCCCAGCCUGGGCUGCCUGGGCUUGAACUUGUGGUCCUCCUGCCUCAGCUGCCCAGAGCCCUGGGAUCAUAGGGGAAGAGCCGGAAGUCGCACGGUGCCAGAUCCGGUGACUAAGGUGGAUGAGGACACAGCGCCAUGUUUUAUGAGCUGCUUUUCCAUUGGAUGGCCUGGACUGCAGUCACUGUGUGUUUUAAUCUCAUCUGGUAAAGACCCUUAAGAAAGAGGACUCCAGAGCUGCUGCAGGAAGUAGCAAGGGCGAUGGGAUGAGUGUGUGUGAAGCAAGUGGGAGGAUUUUGUGGAGAUUCAUGUCAAUUUAUCUUUUACUCUAGUAAAUUUUUGAAAAAAUUUGUAUCUUCAACAUGCAUUUUGAUCACAUCUUGUAUUAUCCACGAGCUAGAAGCCUGCAAAUUCCAUUCCUUAGGUACCCUGGGCACUGGUGUGUGCACUCCUGCCAAUAGGGGGCGCUGGUGGGAGACUGACCAGAGGGAAAGGGAGCAGAGGUCUGCUCUUGCCACACAAGGUGUCGCUGCUGUGGUGACAGCAGGAGUAGGUGG
rnacentral:lncRNA from 1 species